UACGUAGGUGACAAGCGUUGUCCGGAUUUACUGGGCGUAAAGAGCGCGCAGGCGGUCGUUUAAGUCGAGUGUGAAAGCCCCCGGCUCAACUGGGGAGGGUCACUCGAUACUGAUCGACUCGAAGGCAGGAGAGGGUAGUGGAAUUCCCGGUGUAGUGGUGAAAUGCGUAGAUAUCGGGAGGAACACCAGUGGCGAAGGCGACUACCUGGCCUGUUUCUUGACGCUGAGGCGCGAAAGCUAGGGGAGCAAACGGG
rnacentral:rRNA from 1 species